rnacentral:rRNA from 1 species
UAUACAACUCAUNAACCCUGUGAAAAUACCUGAACGUUGCUUCGGGGGAACAGACGGCCCCGUAACACGGNCNGCCCCCGCNAGAGGACCCCCUAACUCUGNUGNAAUAAUGUUUUUUCUGAGUAAANAAGCAAAUAAAUUAAAACUUUNAACAACGGAUCUCUUGGCUCUGGCAUCGAUGAAGAACGCAGCGAAAUGCGAUAAGUAAUGUGAAUUGCAGAAUUCAGUGAAUCAUCGAAUCUUUGAACGCACAUUGCGCCCGGCCAGUAUUCUGGNGGGCAUGCCCUGUUCGAGCGUCAUUACAAACCCUAAGGCCCCCGGGCCUGGCGUUGGGGAUCGGCGGAGCGCCCCCUGNGGGCACACGCCGUCCCCNAAAUACAGUGGCGGUCCCGCCGCAGCUUCCAUUGCGUAGUAGCUAACACCUCGCAACUGGAGGAGCGGCGCGGCACGCCCGUAAACACCCAACUUCUGAAUG